AUGGUAACUUAGAUUAUAAAAAAGCACAAAUCCAGUACAGCACACAAGAUUUGACUAAUGGCAGUGACACUACAUCAACAGACUCAACACUGACUAUUACAACAUAUUGAUGGUGGCCGGGAAGGAAAUAAUAGACACAGCCCUCCAAUCCUACAAAAAUCUCUUGAACAGAACAUCUAAACUAUAAACUCUAGUUCAACACCCUCAUAUAGUUUACUAUUUCAUUCUCUCCAAAUGCACCACUUUAGGCUUAAUGGCAAAACUUGACUUUGUCACUUUAUAGAACUUCCUUGUACUGGUAAGGAAGCAACAAACUUUGGAAUCACCUAUGGCACUCCCAGUAACGAAAAAGUUAGUACCCAUACUUCCCUCACUCUAACAAAAUGAAGUAG
rnacentral:misc_RNA from 1 species